rnacentral:lncRNA from 1 species
UUUUCCAGAGUUGCUUAACUCUUCUGGUUAGUAAGGACAGUUCUUCUUCAUCAUCAGAGUCUUCAGGUUCAGAGUCGUCAGUAUCUGCAGUUUCUGCCUGAAGAGCUUUGGUUCUGUCUGACUUCCGUCUUUCAGGUCUGGACUUCAGCGCCACUGACUUGUUCCUUUUCUGAGGCUCAUCCUCCUCUAGUUCUAUCUCAUGACUUCUGAGAGAGCUAACAAGUUCUUCAAGGCUGAUGUUGUUCAGAUCCUUUGAUAGCUUCAGAGCAGUAACCAUUGGUCUCCAUUUCUUUGGCAGACUUCUGACAAUCUUCUUAA